rnacentral:lncRNA from 1 species
GAAAGAUCUCCAAUGCUCAUGGAUUGGCAGGAUUAAUUUAGUAAAAAUGGCCAUUUUACCAAAAGCAAUCUACAGAUUCAAUGCAAUCCCCAUCAAAAUACCAAUCCAAUUCUUCAAAGAGUUAGACAGAACAAUUUGCAAAUUCAUCUGGAAUAACAAAAAACCCAGGAUAGCUAAAGCUAUCCUCAACAAUAAAAGGACUUCAGGGGGAAUCACUAUCCCUGAACUCAAGCAGUAUUACAGAGCAAUAGUGAUAAAAACUGCAUGGUAUUGGUACAGAGACAGACAGAUAGACCAAUGGAAUAGAAUUGAAGACCCAGAAAUG